CCAAUUUGCUUUUAGCACUGUUUGAAGUAAAUGUCAAAAGAAUUGUUCGUGCCCAAAUUUAUUUUGUAUUAUAUCUUUCUCGAUCCGAGAACAUUAAUUUCUGCGAUGACGGAGACCCUGGGACUGGACUGCUUGGUCCACCUGGAUAGUGUUAUGGUUUACCAGAAAGUUGACUAUGCGGAUGUGUUCUUGGGAUUUACCAGCAACCGAAGAUAUUCCAUAACGAGUGGCCCGAACGACAAGCCCAUUCUCUACGCCGUCCAGGACAAUAACUUUUGGACCCGUGAAUUUGGAUCGAAAUACAACAUGACGAUCCGGGUGAUGAACGCCGCGAAGACGGAUCUCAUGGUGGUGUCCAAGGCCAAGCAUCACGAUUGUUGCGAGGGACCGAAAGUGGACGUCUUUGCGCCGCCCGGCAACAAGAUCGGCUGGGUCAGGUACCACGAGGGCUGCUGCUGGGAUCACAUGGAGAUCCAUGAGCCCAAGGGCCAGCUUCUGUACAAGGUCAUACCCUACAGCUCCUUUAAGGACAACAAGUUUAGGCUUAUAUAUAUUUCCUUUUCGGCAGAUCGUGGAUCGCAACAAUAAGGUCGUAGGCAAAAUUUUUAAAAAAUAUGCCGGAUUCUUUCAAGAGGCUUUCUCAAAGGCAGACAACUUUAGAGUUGAGUUCAAGGAUGCAAGUGUAAGAACCAAGGCGUUUUUUCUGGCCACGGCAUUUUACAUAGAUGCUGUUUUUCACGAGGGGCGCCGGUUUUAAUACGUGCAACCCUAAAACCUUUGGAUCCUUGCUGAUAUAUUAUAAUAUCAUUAUAUAUCUCUAUACUUUUCCUAAGUUUUGACUGCUCAGUAAGACUGUGGUUUCCAAAUUCUUUAUGUGUAUGUUCACUGGUUAUCAAUAAAUUUUAUUUCUGAUGAGAA